GGCAAUGCUACAAAAUACUAAUUGAGUGUAUGUAAACUUCUGACCCACUGGGAAUGUGAUGAAAGAAAUAAUAGCUGAAAUAAAUAAUUCUCUCCACUAUUAUUCUGAUAUUUCACAUUGUUAAAAUAAAGUGGUGAUCCUAACUGACCUAAGACAGGGAAUAUGUACUAUGAUUAUAUGUCAGGAAUUGUGAAAAACUGAGUUUAAAUGUAUUUGGCUAAGGUGUAUGUAAACUUCCGACUACAACUGUAUAUAAGUGUUUUUCUCCACUUUCUGGAGGACUGAGUAUGAUAGCUAAGGAGAUGGAGAAAACACCUGUCUCUGGAUUACACCUUCAGACUAAGGGCAACCAUGGUAUCCGUGACAGGGAGAAGCAUCGAACCAUGAAGUAUGCGGCAGGGGGAGUAGGAGGAGUGGAAGAGCGGAAUAGGAGGAGUGGAAGUGUGAGUAGGAGUUGGACAAAAAAGCAGACAUCAGAAAGAGGAGUAGGAAAAGACUGAGGAAAUAAGAGUACAGCAUGUGAACACGUCCGGCAGAGUAGCAAAGCACGGCUCGGCUGAUGACCUUUACUGACAUACAGCCAGAGAACAGCAAUGUCCUGCCCUCGGGUCAGGUGAUUCACCUCAAGUGCUGCUGAAAAACCACCACCAGUGAUGAAGAAUGUAAGCAUAAUAAAGGUUGUUGACAAGGCUAUGAGGUUGUGUGUGUGUGUUUGUGUGUGUUGGGGGAGGAGAGGUGGUAAUACAAAGCUGUGACAGAGGAUAGAGGCAGCCACAGCCCCAAGACCGCCCGGAAUCUUCUCUCUCUCUCUUUCUUUCUCUCUCUCUCUCUCUCUCUCUCUCUCUCUCUCUCUCUCUCUCUCUCUCUCUCUCUCUCUCUCUCUCUCUCACUGCAUGAUGAGCACAGCCUUAAUGGGUUCGGUUGCCUGGACACUGGGCGGUGAAUUAACCGCUGAGAAGCUGGCUAGCUGGGUUGUGUGUUCUGGCCGGGGCUCAGGGGACUCCUGGUGAUCCACUGGGCUUUGCUUCCAUCCUGCACUCAGUGCCGUUGUGUUCCCUUCCUUUUUUCUGCAUCCCUGCACCCUCCUCUCCCAAUCAUGAAUUACAUACAUGGUACAGUACAUAAAUCCACUAGGGCGGUGGGCGUACAAGCCAAGCCAAUCCUACCUGCU
rnacentral:lncRNA from 8 species